AUUGAACGCUGGCGGCAUGCCUUACACGUGCAAGUCGAACGGUAACAGGUCUUUCGGGAUGCUGACGAGUGGCGAACGGGUGAGUAAUACAUCGGAACGUGCCUAGUAGUGGGGGAUAACUACUCGAAAGAGUGGCUAAUACCGCAUGAGAUCUAUGGAUGAAAGCAGGGGACCUUCGGGCCUUGUGCUACUAGAGCGGCCGAUGGCAGAUUAGGUAGUUGGUGGGAUAAAAGCUUACCAAGCCUACGAUCUGUAGCUGGUCUGAGAGGACGAUCAGCCACACUGGGACUGAGACACGGCCCAGACUCCUACGGGAGGCAGCAGUGGGGAAUUUUGGACAAUGGGCGCAAGCCUGAUCCAGCAAUGCCGCGUGCAGGAUGAAGGCCUUCGGGUUGUAAACUGCUUUUGUACGGAACGAAAAGUCUUGGGUUAAUACCCUGGGAUCAUGACGGUACCGUAAGAAUAAGCCCCGGCUAACUACGUGCCAGCCGCCGCGGUAACAC
rnacentral:rRNA from 1 species